GUGACCAGUCACACGCCUGAGCAUUGCAGCGAACACAUCUAGUUUGGUUUUGUUUGUGCAUUCAUAUUGCUUGCAGAAAUGCGGCUCAAUUCUGUGUACGUAUUCUGAGUGACGGUCCUGAGGCACGCCAACUUAAAAAAAGAAGCGCUUAUAUCCUGCUUUUGCUUUGAUUUGAGAAAAUCAACAUGCCACAAAUUCAUUAGCAUAUCAACGUGUUCAGCUUAUAACAGAGUGUGCCUCAAAGAAGUCUAUUGUGGAAAGCAGAGACAUAGCACAUCGACUUCGCUUUUAUCUGCACUAACGUGUAAAGGAAAUCGUAUGAUUUGCUUCAAGCACCGUAAUAGUCGACCAGGCAGCAGGUGAAGCUAAUUAGCCCUCCCUUCCCCCUUAAAGAACCGCUUACAAUGUCUGGCCAUUUUGAGCUGACAAGGGCAGCCCAUACAAUGCACGCUAACGACCAUAUCUGCUAAGUAUUACAUCCCUAAGCGCUGCGGAAAGAGCUGGAAUUUCAAACCAAACGCCAUUCGCCCUUCUCCUCGCGGGCACCACGCUCCCAGCCAGAGAGCCGACGUAUAUAUAUUGCACCUACUAUCACAGAACACCUAUGCUACUACAUGGCAGUGCUGUGACAUCGCGCAUAGUGACACGUGACUUCGAGAAUUAUUCAAGGCGGCAUCAGUUUUUCAACAGACGAAUUAAAGAUUAGAGAAAUAAUAAAACAAGCUGAGUAACUGCGUUUUUUUUUUUUUUACUUUGAACUGUAGCAAGAAAGAUGUACUUCUAUCGCGCACGCAGAGAACGAAACUAACUCAUUUUCUACUGUGUUCCAGCGCCGCAAUUAUGCUCUUUCAUUUGUACUACUAAUCAGUUGCUUUUGUGCAGAGCAUGCAUCAACGUACGCUGUGCGAAACGAGACGAACGCAACAGCUCGUGCGCGAGACCGUCACCGGAAGUGCGCCACUCAGCAAAAGAGCGAGAAAAAAAAAUGGCUCCGGCUUAGCUCAACCCUGGAUAUGCAAAGGCUUUGUCUAAAUGACAGAGGUGAAACACACAAGGAGGUCAAAGGAAGGUGAAGGCUUAAAGUGAUAAACUAUGGUCAAACAAGGGAUGUCGCUGCAGCCAACGUCCUGACAAGGCGACCGACCCUGACGAAGACAAGUGCCUGUGAUGAAAUGCCGGCUCCAACUAGAUCCCUUGUUUAACCACUGCUCAUCACAGGGGCGAAAGAUGAAAUAUAUUUAUUCAAUCAGUGUCA